rnacentral:rRNA from 1 species
GACGAACGCUGGCGGCGUGCCUAAUACAUGCAAGUUGAGCGCUGAAGGUUGGUACUUGUACCAACUGGAUGAGCAGCGAACGGGUGAGUAACGCGUGGGGAAUCUGCCUUUGAGCGGGGGACAACAUUUGGAAACGAAUGCUAAUACCGCAUAAAAACUUUAAACACAAGUUUUAAGUUUGAAAGAUGCAAUUGCAUCACUCAAAGAUGAUCCCGCGUUGUAUUAGCUAGUUGGUGAGGUAAAGGCUCACCAAGGCGAUGAUACAUAGCCGACCUGAGAGGGUGAUCGGCCACAUUGGGAGUGAGACACGGCCCAAACGCCUACGGGAGGCAGCAGUAGGGAAUCUUCGGCAAUGGACGAAAGUCUGAGCGAGCAACGCCGCGUGAGUGAAGAAGGGUGUCGGAUCGUAAAACUCUGUCGGUAGAGAAGAACGUUGGUGAGAGUGGAAAGCUCAUCAAGUGACGGUAACUACCCAGAAAGGGACGGCUAACUACGUG